rnacentral:rRNA from 1 species
UACGAAGGGGGCUAGCGUUGCUCGGAAUCACUGGGCGUAAAGCGCACGUAGGCGGAUCUUUAAGUCAGGGGUGAAAUCCUGGAGCUCAACUCCAGAACUGCCUUUGAUACUGGGGAUCUCGAGUCCGGAAGAGGUGAGUGGAACUCCGAGUGUAGAGGUGAAAUUCGUAGAUAUUCGGAAGAACACCAGUGGCGAAGGCGGGUCUCUGGACAGUUCCUGACGCUGAGGCACGAAGGCCAGGGGAGCAAACGGG